UCCUGGCUCCGCCCCACCGCAGUCCGCUCUUAUUUCCGGAGGUGGAAGAGAAAUGGCUCCUUAGACCCUUGCUGGGGAUAGUUACUGAAAGGGGCACUUUUUUCUUUUACAGCCCAUAAAGAGCGCUUUCCCAGAUGUGGUCUCCCUGUGUUGCCCAGGCUGCUCUGGAACUCCUGGGGGAAAGUGAUCCUCCUGCCUAGGCCUUCCAAAGUGUUGUGAUUACAAACGUGAGCUACCUGCCUGGCCAAGGAUCUGGAAUUUUUGUUGUUAACACUCCAGGAGGAAACCUGGCUGAGGAUAAUGACUGAGAUUACUUAUUGUAAGAGAAGGCUGCUGAAGUUUAGAAAAACACACCUAUCCACCAUCAGGCGGGCCACUGGCUUCACAUUCUUCUUUUAUCUAAAAAACAAGGCAGACUCCCUGUGGCUCAAAAGCUAAAAGCAGAACCAAGAGGCCAUAGCAGAGUGAGGGAGUGAUCAUGCACUCUGUAUCUGUCAAAACUAUUGUAAAACCAGUUUUUCUGCAAUCAAGUCAAAGAACAGUUCCUGAAAACAAUGUCAAAAACAACUACAGCUGGAAAUUCCCCAACUGACCACCAAUAGGUUACCUGGUGCCAGCCAAUUACCUGGAAUCAGCCAACUAAGAGAGACUGGUUAUUUGGGAGAUCAAAGGUUUUCCAAUCAAGACUGUGUUCCUCACUCCCUGACUCCUCUUCUGGCCUGCAAUCUUCAUCUUUAUGAUAUAUAACUCUCCAAUCCCCUCCUUAGAGUGCACUUUUGUUUUGCACUGAAGGCUGUCUCCUCAAUCUGCAGGUUGCUUUUAGAAAAUAAAGUUCUCCUUUUGCCUCCACAAGAGAUCUCAUUGCUCUUUUGUUAACAUUUCAAAUGCAACAGAAUAUUGUUUUUUAAGUGAAUGAACAAUGUGAAAUGAUUUACAUUUUAAGAUAAUUCUUGCUUUGGUUGGGAAAAUUGAUAGGAGGAAGGCAAGAGUAAAAAUGAGAAGGUCCAAUUAGGAGCCCAGGGAAGAGAUGAUGGUAUCUUGGAUUAGGAUGGCACAGAGAAAUGUACAGAUUCUAUAUGUACUUUGACAAAAGAUUCACUAGCACUUUCUGAUUAAAUGUGGGGACUGAGGAAAAUGGAGGAAUCAAAGAUAACUCCUAGGUUUCUAAAAUGGGCAACUCCAUAGGUUAAUUUAAUAGACUGUUUUCUUUCUCCUUGUAACAGAAUAAUAAUCCCUAUCUAUGUUAGGGAUCUAUACAGCCCAUUGAAUGACCAUGUGGCUUGCUUUGACGACUGGGAUGUAGGCAGAAGUGAUAAUAAGCUAGAAUCCUCAAGGUCAUCUACUAGUUGCAAAAGAGCAGCUGGAUCCUAGUAGAAAAGAUCCAAAGUAGAAAAGUCUGAAAUGAAAACAAUAAGCAAUAUUCAUCAACAGGUGGGUAAUUUCAGUAUGCAGUUAGAAACUAAGAAAAGGCCGGUGCUGGGAAAACUGCUAGCCAUAUGUAGAAAGCUGAAACUGGAUC
rnacentral:lncRNA from 1 species